AUUGAACGCUGGCGGCAGGCCUAACACAUGCAAGUCGAACGAGUGGCGGACGGGUGAGUAAUGUCUGGGAAACUGCCUGAUGGUGGGGGAUAACUACUGGAAACGGUAGCUAAUACCGCAUACCAUCGGAUGUGCCCAGAUGGGAUUAGCUAGUAGGUGGGGUAAAGGCUCACCUAGGGGACGGUCCCUAGCUGGUCUGAGAGGAUGACCAGCCACACUGGAACUUAGACACGGUCCAGACUCCUACGGGAUGCAGCAGUGGGGAAUAUUGCACAAUGGGCGCAGGCCUGAUGCAGCCAUGCCGCGUGUAUGAAGAAGGCCUUCGGGUUGUAGAGGAAUUUCCGCGGGGAGGCGUUACCCGCAGACGAAGCACCGGCUGACUCCGUGCCAGCAGCCGCGGUAAUUC
rnacentral:rRNA from 1 species